AACGGUCUAUACCUGCGGUACCUGCGGAGGGAUCAUUACCGAGUUUACAACUCCCAAACCCCUGUGAACAUACCACUCGUUGCCUCGGCGGAUCACCGCGCCCCGUGAAACGGGCCGGCCCGCCAGAGGACCUAAACUCAAAUGUUUUAUUGUAUCUUCUGAGUAAAAACACAAAUAAAUCAAAACUUUUAGCAACGGAUCUCU
rnacentral:misc_RNA from 1 species